rfam:Butyricimonas synergistica isolate 43_13 Ley3_66761_scaffold_2073, whole genome shotgun sequence.
AUGUUUCUUCGGGGCAGGGUGCAACUCCCUACCGGCGGUUAUAGUCCGCGACUCCCUUUCGAGGGACUGAUUCAGUGAAAUUCUGAAACCGACGGUUAAAGUCCGGAUGAUAGAGGAGAUAU